rnacentral:rRNA from 1 species
GAUGAACGCUGGCGGCGUGCCUAAUACAUGCAAGUCGAGCGAACAGACGAGGAGCUUGCUCCUUUGACGUUAUCGGCGGACGUGUGAGUAACACGUGUUUAACCUACCUAUACGACUGGUAUAACUUCGGGAAACCGUAUCUAAUACCGUAUAAUAUUUCGACCCUCAUUGUUCGAUAGUUAAAGAUGGCUUUUCUUUCACUUAUAGAUGUACCUAGGCCGUAUUAUCUAGUUGUUAAGGUAACGGCUUACCAAGGCAACGAUGCGUAGACGACCUGAGAGGGGGAUAGGCAAAACGGGAAGAGAGAAAGGGUCAAGACGAGAACGGGAGGAAGCAGAAGGGAAUAUUACGAAAUGGGGGAAAGCGGGACGGAGAAAAGCGGGGUGAGUGAUGAAGGUCUACGGAUGGUAAAACUCUGUUAUAAGGGAAGAAGAAAAGUGGAAGGAAAAGUGCACAUAGUGACGGUACCUAAUCAGAAAGCAACGGCUAACUACGUG